GAUGAACGCUAGCGGCAGGCUUAAUACAUGCAAGUCGAGGGGCAGCAUGAUUGUAGCAAUACAAUUGAUGGCGACCGGCAAACGGGUGCGGAACACGUACACAACCUUCCAACAAGUGGGGGAUAGCCCAGAGAAAUUUGGAUUAAUACCCCGUAACAUAGCGAUGUGGCAUCACAUUGCUAUUAUAGAUUUUUCGCUUGUUGAUGGGUGUGCGGCUGAUUAGAUAGUUGGCGGGGUAACAGCCCACCAAGUCUACGAUCAGUAGCUGAUGUGGGAGCAUGAUCAGCCACACGGGCACUGAGACACGGGCCCGACUCCUACGGGAGGCAGCAGUAAGGAAUAUUGGACAAUGGACGCAAGUCUGAUCCAGCCAUGCCGCGUGAAGGAUUAAGGUCCUCUGGAUUGUAAACUUCUUUUAUAAGGGACGAAAAAAGGCUUUUCUAAGUCGUCUGACGGUACCUUAUGAAUAAGCACCGGCUAACUCCGUGCCAGCAGCCGCGGUAACAC
rnacentral:rRNA from 1 species